GAAUCAGCCAUUCUCCCUCAUCUUCUGAGCCAAGAUCAAGAUUUGCACAAGUCCUUGUUUAGAUCAAUCAUCGCGUUCAUUGGCCAAAGCCAGAGCUCUACUUUACAGUGAGCAGAGUUCCUGUACCAGCAGAUUGGUGCCCUGUCAAGCUGGGAUUGCUUCUGGCAUCAGUUCCCCAGUUUCCUAUGGACAGUCAGGGUUUGUCAUUGCGUAAGGGAAGGAUCAGCCUCGUGGCACUGCUGGGAGCACUGAGGCCAGUGGGACCUCACCAUGCCCCGUGCUGAGAAGCAUGGCUGCCAGGCAGCUGAGCCCCAGGGGCUGGGAUUUGCCCUCCCUCGACACUAAGCCAGGGGGGCUGUGAUGACGGAGCUGUGUGAGGGUCGGUGCCAGCCACAAGCAGGGCAGCUCGGGACUGACAGCAGGGCACUUCCAGUCAUGGUGGGAGAAGAUAUCAGGAAGUGUCCUUGGCUGUAGCGUGGGUGCACCUGGCACUGGGUUUCUGUGCCAGACUCAAGCAAAUUGCUACGUCUGCACUGGGGACACGCAGAGCAGUUUUUCUCAGUUUCUUGCAACUAAGGAAGAAAAUGUCCAAAAAAACCCAAGUCAGAAGCAAUGCAAAAUGAGGACCUGUCUGCAAGAUGGAACGGCUCGUAUUUGUGAAAGAUCUGUCAUAGUCAGCAAAGUGCACAUGCACUUCAGUGUGCUGAAUGUGCUGUCCUCACGCUCAGCUCCACAGCCCCUGCAGGGCACAUUGCUGCAGGAGGAGCCCUGGGCUGCACCUCACUGCUGCAGGCAGUGCUUUCCAUCACCCACUCACCAUCACCCCUCUCCCCACGGCAGCGUAUCAAUGAACCCUGAGCGGUUCCAGUGAACAUAAGCAUCAUUCUGAAUACGGUCUUCAUUUCAUAUAGCAGCUGCUCAGUCACCUGAGCAAAUACAGAGCAAUGGCUGGGCAUGGCUUACUUCUGAAUUCCAAGUUUGGUGGCUGGGCAGCCCCAGGCAGACACGAGCACUGUGCUGCCCACCUUGCUGCACACACUCUGCAGCUCUCGGUGACUCUUCUUUGGGACUCUGGGUUUUUCCUUUGUGCCAUUUCAUACUGUAUAGUCCACAUUUUGUUCCUAACUUAUGUGUGUCCCUGUGCUUUCCCCUUUUAAAGUGGCAUCCCAAGAGGCCACGGUGUGUUUGUAUUCUGAGAACUGUUGGUGAGGUCAUAACAGAAGGUGGUGGGAGGGGGGAAAACUAUUCCCAAUCAUGUUGGGAUCAAUAAAAUAGAGUAUGAUUUCACUAAAAAGCAAACCUUAUUAGCAUUUUCUACUGUGAUUUAUAAAGCCAAUGCUGAUGGAUUGCUGCUGAUCUCAAAGCCCCUGUGAACAAACCGGUGCCUACUUAGCAGGAGCUCAGCAGCAGCUGUGAGCUGCCCCAUGCCUGUCCCUGCAGCCCCACUCACUCCCUGGUUUAUGGUGACACACUUAGAAAGAUUAAACACGACCGUCUCCAGAAGCACCACGGCUGUGCUGAGAUGAUGAGGAGCGAGGUGUGUGCGUCACAAAGCAGGUGUUUAUUUUAAUUUAGAUCAAAUUUUCAAUUACCCAAAUAAAUUGUAAACGUGGGCUUCUAAAGUGGGGCUGUGUUGCAGCGUUCCUUCUUUUCUGAUGCUACAUAACUGGUCUCAAACAGCUCUGUUAUAUAGCUGGGUCUUGUGGACUGUACUGAAUUAAGUUCUGCUGCUGUUGGAGAGGAAAGAGAAGCCAUUCAUCUCAAACUAGGAGGCAAUGCUUUAAUUUCAGCCUUGAUGAACCCCAUCACAUGGCAGAUUCAAGGCAAGUGUGCUGGGGCUUGUUGGGGAGGUGCAAAUUGCAGUCACUGUGCCGAGGAUUUGCAGCAGCAACAGGAGAGGAAACUGCUCUGCAAAUUUGGCGAGCAGCUGAUACAGCAACAGGAAGGCAACCCGAACUGCUCCUGGGAUGGAACAGACCACUGCCUGCUUGCAAAACCAUUUCCUUGCACAAAGAUCCAUUUGAUCUGGAAAUAAUAUGGAGAAAAGAAAACAGACAUGAGCAAAUGACCAGAUAACUUGGACCCAGCCAUGCUGUGCCCCUGCCUUGGUAUCACCAUGCGAUGCUGCCUUGUCACCCUGUAAAGCAUCCCCAUCUUUGGGGGGUCAUUAAGCAGCACACAGGCAGCAUGUGCUGUUAAUGCCAACCUGUUUGCUGUGCUCAGCCCAUGGGUUGUCCCAAAGCACCGAGCCUUGCUCUGCUGCAGCUGGAGCUGAUAGCCCAGCACACCCUGCUGACAAACCUGCUGGCAAUCGCUCCUCGUCUCAGCAUUUUCCAGGUGUUUUCAUAUCUUUGAUUACCUGAAUGAUACUCUUAUGGGGGGUAAGGACAAAUAUCAUGGUUCAUAAUUCCCCAGCACCUGCCUGUGGUUCAGGAAUGCUGCAGUUUUGCAUUGGCUUCAUCCAGCCCUUAAUGGUACCCAUGUCUGAUGGCUGGUGUCCAGCCCUGAGUGGAGUGCAAUGUGGGGCUGGGAGCUGCAGCAGGUGGCUGUGUGUGGAUCUGCACUGCUCCCUUCAUGCUCCUUUCUUUCCUGCUGCAAUAGUUUGAUAAGACAUUUUGCACUGUGUUUUUAGUGUUUUUGGGUUGGGUUUUGUUUCUUUUUUUCAAUUUUGUGAGCUUCUUGCAUGAAUUUUAAGUGCUGUGUUUGUUUUUGCUUGGCCAGGUUAGGGUUUUGCAGAACAGCUUAACUCAUUAGCAUUUCUUAGAAGUCUGCCUUACUGUUGCUAUGACACUUGCAUAAUAUUAUGCACAGUGCUCUGAUUUUACUUUGAAAUCAGACAUACUGUACAAGCCACUCUAACCUAAUUACAUCAGUAACCUGAGACCUACCGGGAAACUCAAGAUGGGACUCAAGUGUGUGCUGGGGCUCCCAGUGCCCAGAAACAGGGCUGUGACUUUGUGUUCCUUGCUGCCAGCCAAAGGAAAGCAUUUCCUGGGCAAUGUUCUUUAUGUAUAGUCAACAAAGAGAAUUACCUUCCAUCAAGGUGUGCUAUGAAGUAAAAAGGCAGUGCUCCCUUCCAAGCUGUGCCGUCCUGUGACAGCUCUUCAACCAGAAUCACACCCCCAGGUUGGAUGAACUCAUAUGCUCACACCUGACCAUGGCACAGAAGGUCCUUACCUUGAGGUGGCAAUGGCUGAUGCUGUCCCUGUUGCAUCACACUGCUCUUUAAUGAUGAGGGCCUGCAGCCCUGUAACAGCACAGAGCAGUUUGCAGCCCCGCUUCCCACUGACCAUCCUGAGAGGCACAUGUGCACAGUGCCUUGGAAGGUUUAACUCCACAAUACUGUUUUGAAGUAUCUAAAUUACACUUUAAAAGUUAACAGCACUCUGGAGUGCCAAUUUAAUUGACUUCCUGUGAAACACGUUUCUCUGAAUUCUCUGGUUACCUUUCAAAAAUGGGAUUCUGGCUUCCAAGUCACACUGGGGACUCGUCAAACUCUGGCUGCUGGUGAAUAUUUGAUUCUGCUCACAGAUCCGUGGAGCUCACUGAGAGUUUUCCUGGAUGCACAGCUCUGUGCACACCCUCUGGGUGCCGGUGUGCAGGUGGGGCUGGUGCAUCUAUGGCCAUAUACUGUAGGCCUGUGGGCACAGCAGAGAAUGUGGCCGGGCACGAGCUGUGACCAUCGCAUGGCUUCAGGUCUCCUCAUUUGUCACCAAUCUCCUGGUUCAUUUGGGAUGAAGGCUGAGAGUGUUGGUCUGCUUUUAUUUCGCUCCACCAGCAGAGCUGGGAGCACAUGGUAUCCUCCCUCUGCACCACUUCUCUGUUCUGGAAAGCUGUGCUGAAAGCACCGGGGGAAUUUUUUGAGUGGUGGAAUGGGGCUGCCCCAUGGUGUGCUGCCAUGGAUGGGGGCUGGCAGGGCACGUGGGCAGCAACAUGGCUGUGGGGCUUUGUGUGUUCUGACCUGUGCAUCCUGCCCAUGUUACAUUUUUACCUAAUCCUAAAGAUCAGACCACACUGUCCAGACGGUCUGCUCCAGUAGCUGCACCACUUAUAUCAGAGCUACUGUUGUAAUAAGAAACAUGUGGGAAGAUCCAUAGCAGGAUGGAGAAGGCACCUUCCCUGUAGCAGCUGAAGGCAGAGGAGUAAUGAUGUGAUUUGCUUCUGUACCUGUGGGCCAGCUCUGGAGGAUGGACAGCCACCUGCCCCAGCUCAAGGUGAGGCAGCAGCUGAUACAGAAUCACAGAUUAUCACUGAAGGUGGUAACAGAGCUUCCUUUGGGUCCAACCCCCAGAAGAAGAGCUACCUGCCAAAUAUUUCACAUGAAACCUGUAAAUGCGGGUAGUUCUUUUGACUUAAGGUGAAGAUCUUUAAAGAAAUUCGUGCUAAUCUUUAAAUAGAAUUUCUGAUCGUGUGCAGCAUAAUCAGAGUCAGGGCUCUGCAGCUUGUAUGGCUUUGUUGGGUUUUUGGUCCACAUUAGAGCUAAACUCUGAUUUAUUUAAGCUGCAAAUUGUCCUUAUCUCUGAGCUCACAUGUGUGAGUGAUAUGACGUACUUUCCCACAGUAACACCUAAUGAAAAACAGCUUUCACCAAUUCAGAUCAAUAAAACUGGUCAUGUAUUUAAAUCCAUCUCAAUUAGAGUCGGGAGGAGAAUAGAGUUGAUACAAAGAAAAUGGUUUUCUUCUCAUCGGUGGGGAAAGGAGUGUUUUCUGAAGAAACGAACGAUGUCGGGGUUGAUUUGGAUGUUGGAGCUGUAGAGCUGAUCCCAGCAGUUGUAAUGAAGCUCUGACAGCCAGCAGCAAAGCUGCGCUCGGGGCAGAGGACAGGGUGCUGUUAUGGACUGAACUGCUUCAGUGCUUCAGCAGCCCUGACAGCAGCUGCACGCUGUGUGAUAAGAUCGCCGCCGUCAUUUCUAGGCUGAAAGACCAGGAGUUCCGCUCAGAACGCGCUGUCUCCAGAGUAUUUUGAACAAAAGUAGGAUUAAUAUCAAGCUCAGCAUUCAGGUGCUCACUGCUUCUGCACCUGGUACCGCUAAUGGCAAAAGAGCAUCUCAGGAAUUAUCUUUCAGUGUGCAGCAAUUGAAUGUGCAAAUGGAAAAUCCCACUGCUCCAGGCCUCAGGGGAAAGAGGUCACAUCUGCAGCCCAGUAUUGACUUCAGAUACAUUGUCCGCUGUUAAGAAGUGUGCAGACAUUCUGUAACAAUGAGCAACUCUAACACAGCCACCAAAAGUUCAUCAGGAUCUGCACAGCCCUAUGGGUGUCCACCAUGGCUUUCUGGUUUCAGCUUUGGUCUCACUCAGAGCUGUGUGUGCUUUGCUUUAGGGUUAGGGCAUCCACUGCACUCAGUCCUUUGGCUCUUGUCUGCUGAAACAUCACAAAGGAUGAAGGAAUGGUGUUAUAUGGACAAUCUUCUAAGAAAAUCCACAAAAGGUCCCUUCAGAGCAGCAGCUGGGCUUGGUGCCCACAUGUGGCAUGGUGCGCUGGGGGAGGCUCUGGGCUGCUGCAAAAGGGGAGGUUCUGUCCCUUAGCUGAGAUCCCUGCCCCACGGAGCUGCCAUUUCAGGCAUCCACACAGAGGCAACGUGUGCUGAGGGAGGUAAAAGUGGGAUGUGACUCUGAGCACGGCGGCUCUGUUCAGAAUCACGGAUCGCUAGGAUAGAUGCUCCCAGCAUUGCUCCAUCCCAGCACGAACUGCUGCCUGUCACAGUGCCCUGGGCUUCACUCCUGCCCUUGCUUUGAUCCAGCGUGGGUUUGCAACAACAAGAGCUUUGGUGACUUUGUUGCUUUGGGUCAGAGGAACAUCUGUGAGCCUGACCGGGUCAUGUCUGUGCGUGUGCUCGUUGCCUCUGCACAGACUGCCCUGCUUUGGGAAACUUGGAGCUGCUGAGGGGGGAAAACCUUUCUGUAAACUUCACUUCUUUUUUAAUACAGAGCAAGAGCUCCUGGGCCCUUUAUGGCCCUCCCUCGUUCUUCAUGAGCUACAUAUGUAUAUCAGCUCUAGCACGCUGUCAGUGAACAGUGGUUUUCAAUCAAAAAGACUGUCAGUAAAGCUGAUUCACUAACAAGAAAGCUGUCAAGCUGUGACAGCUGCUGUCUUUGCAACCCCAAACAAUCUGUUCGGUGCUAACUCUGACUUAUGCUUCCAUUUAUUAUACAGUAGUAAUGAGUACUGUCCUUAGAAAUAUCAUUUUGGAGAGUACACCUUGCUGCUUUGUUAUGGAUGUGGAACACAUCAAAUCGGAUCGGAGCUGCACAAGUUUUUGACAAACAAGUGCUCCUUGUCAUCGGAAUAAUUUUUUUUUCUCGAUUCUAAAUCUUGUUUCAGCUUUUACAUCAUUUCUGUAGUUAAACCUCAGCCUGAAAGUUGCAUUACUAUUAGAAACUGAGACAAAUUUCUGUUUUCCCAUCUUGUUGGAAGAUGGCACCUAACCCUGAGCACAACGCUCCUACCUACAGAACUGGGUUAGGGAGGGUCGUUGUGAUGCUCACAGUUUGGGGGGAUCACACCUCUCAGCCCACAGGGAGAACUGAUGCCAAUGCUGAUGUCCAAGCAUAGUACUGCCAUCUAAAUGCUUGUUAAUGCUUUCUUUUGUUUUGCUUUUAAUUAAACAGAAGCACAUCGACAGCCUCCUUUAGCAAACUCUUCCAGCAAUAAAUUCUAGCUUUGCAAACCUA